UCAAAAAAAUCAAACAAACCAAAAUUGAUGUGCAUUAAAUGCUCCUCACGGGCAACAGAGGCGCAUAACAUCACCCAAAAAGAGACCAUCGUGUAGUCCAAUGAGCGCCUAAAACCAGGAAGCCAUUGCCUUUUUUUUUUCUCUCUCUCUUCUCCUCCUUCCCCAGAACCCAAAACAAGAAGGCCUAGGUGCUUAGAUCCACCAUAGCCUGCAAAGUUUCACCAACUCCCUGCGCAACCCAUCUCCUACGCUCCGAAAGUCCGCGCAACAGAGAGAGUCAGCACGAUUUUGGGGAUAGGGGUGCAUUUUUUCAAAUUCAUCUGAAUUUUGCUUUUCUUCUUCACUUUUGAUUUCAAAUCCAGACGUUCAAGUCCGGAUUUGACCUAUAAAUAGGGUGUUCUUCAACCCUAGAAAAGAGGGGAUUUUGAGGGAAGAAAAGCAAAAAUUAGUGGAGGGAGGGGGGGGGGGGGUGAUCUAGAAAAAGAGCAAAAAUUCUCGUGAGAAGAGUAAGGGUUCAUGGAAAAAUAGAGAAAACGAGUGAAAGAAAAAGGGAACAGAGAACGGGGGUCUCAAAAAUUGGUAGCUUUCUUUUCUGAUUUCGGGCCUAAUGCAGUUCGAGUUAAUCGCCGGAAAAUACUUAACGUGAAACCCUUGUUUGCUGCACCCAAAAAGGUUUACAAGUGAUGAAAAGAAAAGAAGCAAACUUGAGUUAAAAAGGAUCAAAAAGGGAGUUGAAGUGCAAGAGCUGGACAAACUGAAGCAGGAUCAAGAUCUAGCUCACAUUUAUAGCGAUCGCGGGCAUUAGCCCACAAUCGUAGCGAGUCAAGCUAGUCAACCAACUGCGAUUGCGAUGGACUAACCGCAAUCACAGUUGGUGUGAUCACGAUUAACCUGUUGCGAUCACGUGAGAGCAAAAAAUGGCCCAAGGACAUAAAUAUAAUUUUGGCCAGCUGACCCCAAAUUCCCAUUUAAAGGUUCAAAACCCUCAUUUAUCUCAUCAUCCAUCAUUCCAUCACCUAUCUCCUAUUCUUAGUUUAUGGUUUUUGUAAUUUCUUGGAGCUUAGAGCAAUAUUUGUACUAAUUUUGGGCUAACAAGAUAUUAGAGUGACUUUUAAGUGUAGAUUUGGCUUCACCCAUUGAAGAUUUAUUGGAUUCUAAAGUGUGGUUUACCCUCUUUUUA